rfam:Corynebacterium frankenforstense DSM 45800 strain ST18, complete genome.
UGCCCCGGCCAUCCCCCCGAGGCCGGGUUACCGACGGCCCGCGCACACCCCCCCCCGAGGCGCGGGCCGUCCUUU